GAUGAAGUGAGCUGUAGCUCACGAAAGCUCAUGCUCAAAUAAACUGGUUAGUCUCUAAGGUGCCACAAGUACUCCUUUUCUUUUUACGAAUACAGACUAACACGGCUGUUACUCUGAAACCUAUGGAUGCUGUAAGUGCGGGAAAACAUUCACUCAGCAUUCACACCUUAUUUGCCAUCAGAGGAUCCACACAGGGGAGAAACCCCAUGAAUGCUGUGAGUGUGGGAAAACCUUCUUUUGGUACUCAGCCCUUAUAAAACAUCAGAGGAUCCACACAAGGGCGAAAGCUUGUGAAUGCUGUGAGUGCGGGAAAACGUUCACUGAGCGCUCACACCUUAUUCGCCAUGAGAGGAUCCAUACAGGGGAGAAACCCUAUGAGUGCUGUGAGUGCGGGAAAACCUUCAUUCAGCACUCACAUCUUAUUGCACAUCAGAGGAGUCACACAGGGGAGAAACCCUAUGAAUGCUGUGAGUGCGGGAAAACCUUCGCUUGGAGCUCAGGCCUUAUUACACAUCAGAGGAGCCGCACAGGAGAGAAACCCUAUACAUGCUGUGAGUGCGGGAAGACCUUCACUCAGAGCUCAAGCCUUAUCAUACAUCAGAGGAUCCACACAGGAGAGAAACCCCAUGAAUGCUGUGAGUGUGGGAAAUUCUUCCAUCACAACUCUUUUCUUAUUUAUCACCAGAAAAGCUGCAAGGGAGAUAAACACCAUGAAAAUCUUUUCUUGGGCUCAGAAAAGAUUGUUUUUUCCUGAUUCCCAAGUAGUGCACUUUAAGGCAGCAUUUGUGGCGUCUCAGCUCCUUCAGAAGGAGGGGUGGGGACCCAGAGAGACAAAAGAUUCCUGCCUUGUGUCAAAGCUAUAGAAGGGGUGGAGCAGGAGAAAGGGGGCCAGUCAUGAGAAAUCCCCUGCUUACCACCUGAGAUGUCUGCUGGAACUAACACUACCUGGGGAAAGGAUCGGGCCCAGACUAGGAAGGAGUCUAAUCUGUGAAAGAAGCUUAUUGGAACAUCUCUGAGGUUUGCAGAGGAAUCGUCCAGAAGCCCUAGCUGGAGGAGAAGCUGGCAGAAGUGGACCUGAGCAUCCUUCUAAGGAGACGUGAAUAGUUCUCAUGUUUCUGCCUUCUGCAUAACUGCCUUCCCACGGGAAAAGAAGUCAAGCGUUGGAGUCUACUGCCCUCAUGCGACGGAAACAGAGCGACGAGACCGUGAGCGUUGUUGAUGCCACGGAAAAGUCAUCCAACUGGGAGCGGAAGAGCCGCCACCCUCAGUGAGGAGCGGUGUGUCCUCUGCAGCAGAAGGUUCGAUCCAGGAGGAUGACUCCAGGGGAGGAAUUGCUGAGGAGCCCUAGCCGGAGGAGAAAGUGGCAGAGAUGGACCUGAGCAGCUUGGACAUUGUUCUCAGCAGACGUGAACAGUCCUCCGCUUUCUGCCUCCCGCUUAACUGGCUUACCAAGGGAAAAGAAGUCGCGUGCCAGAGUCUACUGCUUCAUGCGAUGGAAAGCGAGCGACAGUGACAAGACCCUGCUCUUGCAGAGGAAUUGUCCAGGAGCCCAGCCAGAGGAGAAAGUGGCAGAGGUGUAGCUGAGCAGCUUGGGCAUCCUUCUGAGGAGACAUGAACAGUCCUCUCCUUUCUGCCUCCCGCAUAACUGGCUGCGUGGGAAAGAAGUCAAAUGACAGAGUUUACUCCACUCGUACGAUGGAAAGCGAGCGAGAGCAGGGAGACUGUGAGCCUUGUUGAAAUGAGGCAGGAGCCAUACAUUUGGGAGUGGAGCAGCCGCCACUGUCAGUGAGAUAAGUGAUAUAUUUCAUGCGAGAUAGUCUUUUAAGGUAUCAUUGGAAAGGUUAUAAUUUACUGCAUGUGAUUAUCCAAUUUGGAUGCACGUAUCAUUUCUGUAUCUAAAGUUGGAAAUAUUGACUAUGUAACAGUUACAACCGGGUGUAUACUUGGGAAACACCCACCAGACAACACACCAUCAGCCUUGAUGGGCCAUUAGGAAGAAACAAUAAGACUGUGAAGACACUAAUCUCUCUCCUUCCUGAGACGCGUCCUGGGAUGUAGCUGUGACGCUACUAGGUCAGGUGGUCCUGUCACCUGGUACUAAACGCUAUCUUGGACUUCUAGUAAUUUUCCACUAAAAGGAAGGGGUGGUCAAGACUGGGAAACAAAAGAUUCCCGCCUUAUGUAAAUCUUACUUAAGGCUGGGGAGUAACGCAAACAGGUCUCUUCUCCUUUGCCUUCCUGUCGAAGCAGAAAGACUGCUAAAAGUACCUGAAGGGACAAAGGAACUGAGCAGCGGGAACGUCCAGGGCUGAGUCCGGACUAAGACAGCAACUUGCCUAAAAACAACCUUUAGGGUCCCGGAUGACUGGAAGAAGGUUAAUGUAGCGCCCAUCUUUAAAAAAGGGAAGAAGGAGCAUCCAGAGAACUACAGGCCAGUCAGCCUCACCUCAGUCCCUGGAAGAAUCAUGGAGCAGGUCCUCAAGGAAUCAAUUCUGAAGCACUUAGAGGAGAGGAAAGCGAUCAGGAACUGUCAGCAUGGAUUCACCAAGGGCAAGUCAUGCCUGACUAAUCUAGUUGCCUUCUAUGACGAGAUAACUGGAUCUGCAGAUGAGGGGAAAGCGGCGGACGUAUUGUUCCUUGACUUUAGCAAAGAUUUUGAUAUGGUCCCCCCCAGUAUUCUUGCCAGUAAGUUAAAGAAGUAUUGGCUGGAUGAACGGACUAUAAGGCGGAUAGAAAGCUGGCUAGACCGUCGGGCUCAACGUCUCCGUGUCUAGUUGGCAGCCGGUAUCAAGCGGAGUGCCCCAAGGGUUGGUCCUCGGGCCGGUUUUGUUCAAUAUCUUCGUUAAUGAUCUGGAGGAUGGUGUGGAUUUCACCCUCAGCAAGUUUGCAGAUGACACUAAACUGGGAGGAGAGGUAGAUACGCUGGAGGGUAGGGAUAGGAUACAGAGGGCCCUAGACAAAUUAGAGGAUUGGGCCAAAAGAAAUCUGAUGAGGUUCAACAAGGACAAGUGCAGAGUCCUGCACUUAGGAUGGAAGAAUCCCACGCACCGCUACAGACUAGGGACCGAACGGCUAGGUAGCAGUUCUGCAGAAAAGGACCUAGUGGUUACAGUGGACAAAAAGCUGGAUAUGAGUCAACGGUGUGCCCUUGUUGCCAAGAAGGCCAAUGGUAUUUUCGAAUGUAUAAGCAGGGGCAUUGCCAGCAGAUGGAGGGACGUGAUCGUUCCCCUCUAUUCGACAGUAGUGAGGCCUCAUCUGGAGUACUGUGUCCAGUUUUGGGACCCACACUGCGAGAAGGAUGUGGAAAAAUUGGAGAGUCCAGCGGAGGGCAACAAAAAUGAUUAGGGGACUGGAACACAUGACUUUUGAGGAGAGGCUGAGGGAACCUGGAUUGUUUGGUCUACGGAAGAGAAGAAUGAGGGGGGAUUUGAUAGCUGCUUUCAACUACCUGAAAGAGGGUUCCAAAGAGGAUGGAUCUAGACCGUUCUCAGUGGUAGCGGAUGACAGAACGGGGAGUAAUGGUCUCAAGUUGCAAUGGGGGAUGUUUAGGUUGGAUAUUAGGAAAAACUUUUUCACUAGGAGGGUGGUGAAACACUGGAAUGCGUUACCUAGGGAGGUGGGGGAAUCUCCUUCCUUAAAAGUUUUUAAGGUCAGACUUGACAAAGCCCUAGCUGGGAUGAUUCAGUUGGGGAUCGGUCCUGCUUUGAGCAGGGGGUUGGACUAGAUGACCUCCUGAGGUUUCUUCCAACCUUGAUAUUCUAUGAUUGUCACUGUUGCUUCAUGAGGGAAAUGCGUUGAGGAUUAGCCCAAGUGGCCCCUUGUUGCCUCUCUUCCUUGGUGAGGGAAAUGGUUUGUGCAUUACCUGGAUUGGCCACCUGGUUUCACUCUUGCUCCAUGCGGGAAAUAUUUUAGUGAUGCCAGGUGGCCACUCGAGGCAAUGCACACAGCAUUUCCCUCAUGGAGCAACAAUGACAGUGGGUGGUCACUCAGGGUAAUCCACAGUUGCUCCACGAAGGAAAUGCUUUGUGCGUUACCUCGAUUAGGCGCCCAGUGUCACUGUUGCUCCAUGAUAUAAAUGCUGUGUGCAUUAACCCGAGUGGCCAUCCGGUGUCACUGUUUCUCCAUGAGGGAAAUGUUUUGUGGAUUACUCCGUGGUCACCCAGCGUCACUGUUGCUCUAUGGGGAAAAUCCUCUGUGCAUAACCCUGCCCUUCCACCCGGUGUUACUGUUGUUCCAGGGCAGCUGCAGGCUGAGUUGCCUGUAAGGGUAUGUCUAUGCUGGCAUUGAAGGACAAAACUUUUGUCUUUCAGAAGCGUUAACCCCUUCCCCCAUCCCCCCACCCCGAAAGUAAAAGUUUUGCCACUACAAGUACCAGUGUGAACCACACACAUUGUCGUCAGGAGCGCUUUCCUGCUCACAAUACAAAUGCCACUCGUUGGGAGUGGAAGUUUUUUGUUGGCAGGAGAGACGACAAACAGCGGCUACGCUUCACGGCUUUUAGCAGCAGGGCUGAAUCCUAAGGGUAUGUCUACACUACCCGCCAGAUCAGUGGAUAGUGAUCGAUCUAUCGGGGGUCAAUUUUAGUCUAAACACGAUAAAUUGAUCGUGAGAGGCGCAAGCGGAGUGGACGGGGGAGCGGUGGCAGUCAACCCUGUGUCGCGAAGACGCCGAGGUAAGUUGACCUAAGAUACGUCGACUUCAGCUACGCUAUUCUCCUAGCUGAAGUUGCAUAUCUUAGGUUGACCCCGCCCCAGUGUGACCAGGGCUUAGAUAAAUGCAUGGUAGAGCCUGAGUACAGACGACUGCUUCCCUUUAAGUGAGGCUUGGUUUCUCAUAAAAGUUUUCUUCCUUAUUCUGGGUGUGGGAGGAGAAUUUCCCUAUUUUAUGAGUAGGUGUGGGUUUAUGACCAGGGGAAGAGACAACAGUCUUCUCUGCACAGUGACUCUCUUGAAUACAGGUGCAACGGGCUGCUUAACAUACGAACGUAAGAAUGGCAAUAUGGGGUCAGACCAAAGGUCCGUCUAGCCCACUAUCCUGUCUUCCGACUGGCUAAUACCAGGUGCUUCAGAGGGAAUGAAUAGAACAGGUAAUCGAGAAGUGAUCCAUCCUGUGUCGCCCAUUCCCAGCUUCUGGCAAACAGAGGAUAAGGACACCAUCCUUGCCCAUCCUGACUAAUAGCCAUUGAUGGACCUAUUCUCCAUGAAUUUACCUAGUUCUUUUUUGAACCCUAUUAUAGUUUUGGCUUUCACAGCAUUCUCUGGCCAGCAAUUCCACAGGUCGAGUGUGUGUUGUAUGCUUUUUAAUUGUAUCUAUGAAGGUCUAAUGGGAGAAGGAGAAGAACCACCGACACAACAUUGCAGAUUCCGACGAUAACUUUUGUUUUUCCCUCUUGUGUUGUGCUUCGUGUCAAGGGUAAGAGCCCACCCCUGUUGUGAGAUGGAAAGCAUACAAGAGCCAUGAGACACUGAGCAUUGUUGAUGCCAGGCUACGGUGAUGCCGUCUAGCUGGAAGCAGAGCAGCCAUCGCUGUUAGUAAGAUAAGUGUCUGGUUUGGUGAGGAGUCUGGUCACGGCGCACCUGGCUCCAGGCAGGGACGCGCCAUUAGCUAGGUCUGUGUUUGUAAGAAAAGGUUCCUGACUAGCUGUGGCUACGAGGGAGACAAGGCCCCCAUUAUCAGGGGCUGCUCAUCUGUCUGGCCAGGAGAGGUGUGUCCACUGCAGCAAAAGGUUGGAUCCAGGAGGAUGACUGUAGCUGGUGAGUUUCUUGCCUUCCUCCCCUGUUUCUCUCUCUCUCUUCUCUACUCUAGUGUGUUGGCUGACACACUUUGUCUGUCUGUGCUUGCUUCUCCUUCUUCGGUCUCCCUUCAUAGCACACAGGCAGGCGUGCUAGGUGUGCAUCCCCAUUGGCUAGGUCUUGGGAGCCAUGAAGAAGUAGGAGGGAACAAAAAUCAUGCGGAGGAGUGCGCGUGAGAGUGGAGCAUCACUGUCAGUGUUGACUGAGUCUCUGUUCAUCAAGUGGGUCCGAUUUAGAUGGGAUGGGAGAGGGAGGCAGGGAUGAGGGCAAGGUUUUGCACACCAAUUGAGUUUUGUGGAGUGAUGGCUUCUGCUUGGCUUAAUUGUGGUGCUUGCAGAGGAAUCGUCGAGCAGCAUCUGCAGGAGAAGCUGGCAGAGGUUGACCUGAGCAGCCUGGAUAUUCUUGUAAGCGAAGAUUAACAGUCCUCCGCUUUCUGCCUUCCGCAUAACUGACUGUGAGUAUGCGGUCAGUGCUUUGAAUUCCUCAUUCUGUACUCACUCUAGUUUUCUUCACAGGCCGUGAGCUUCCUCAUUGGGCAUGGGGCUCUGUGGGAUUAAGGUUGAGGAAGAGAGGCCUGCUCCAGGCCAGUGCAGCAGCCCCAGACAGAGGAGGAGCAUGUGGAGGAAGUGGACCUGCACAAUCUAGACAUUUCACUUGCCAACGGAGCUGAGGAGGUCUCUUGUGAUGUUGGAGGAGCAGUUCCUCAUGAGAUUGGGUAGAUGAGAGAAUGGCCAGCCUGUGGCAGAGACCUAAGAAGGAGCAGCCACCCUGAGCCCAUCCCUAGGGAUCGAAGCCAGACAGUGAUCUGCAGACAGCAACAGCACCUAAAGAAACACAACUGGUGGAUGGGUCCUAGCCUGGAGGCCUCUAGAUAGUACAGACUGUGAAGAGCAUACGUUAUGCCCGUGAUGGAUCGUCUGCACCCGAGUCGGGGAUAAUUCUGAAAGAGACGAGGAGGACCCAAGAAUAAGAGACAGCGACCUCAUCGUUAGCUGUCCUCCUCUGUCUGUACUCACGGCAACAAGAUCGCUUGACGGACAAUUGGAGCAUCACCGAACUGUGGGCAGGGUGGUUGUGGCUGGAAGUCUUUCCAGUUAGUAUGAACUGCUGUAAGAUGUUGGGUGAGAAAACUUUUGGCUUUGAAAUGGUAUUUAGCUUGGUGAUAUUUAGGAAUUGGUUACAAAAGAAAUAAAAUGUGUAAGGCCAUAAAA